rnacentral:rRNA from 1 species
UACGGAGGGUGCAAGCGUUAUCCGGAUUCACCGGGUUUAAAGGGUGCGUAGGAGGGCAGGUAAGUCAGUGGUGAAAUCUUCGAGCUUAACUCGGAAACUGCCGUUGAUACUAUCUGUCUUGAAUACCGUGGAGGUGAGCGGAAUAUGUCAUGUAGCGGUGAAAUGCUUAGAUAUGACAUAGAACACCAAUUGCGAAGGCAGCUCGCUACACGAAUAUUGACUCUGAGGCACGAAAGCGUGGGGAUCAAACAGG